ACAUUUGAGAUGUCAUGUGUCAGCACAUAUAUGCCAAGAAAAAAACUUUUAAAUUACGACAAAAAUUAAAUCCUUUGUUGCAGUGUUGUCACACUUUUUACGAGGGAACUGUGACCUGAAUCACUUCGGGAUAAAUGCAUCGGCUGGCGGCUGAUGUUCAAGUUCACCUACCCGCAGCCACCCGCAGCCGCGCAAUCGCAGAAGUGCGCGGCGCGCGAGCGCUUCUUAGUUUGUCGAAGGCGCAAACGCAAUACGCUUGCUUCUGUGAACCCGAACUGUUUAUGAGCCAGCACGCUGCUGGUCAGCCAAGCUAGCGUGCGAUGCACCCUGUUCCAGCUGCCUUUAGCUUGUCCACCUCAAUGACGAGACGUUCAUUUGAGGGAUCGAUCGCCAGCCAUCUGUGUGCAGGCGCGAGUAAGAGCGGGCAUGAGAGAGAAAAUCUGGGUGCCUUGAAUGUAUGACUGCCUAGGCACUACGGAGGGCAAAGUUCUGAUUGGUGUUGCAGAAGUCGCGGUGCGCGGUAUUGCUGAGCUUGGUGUCACAAGUUGGCAGCUGUACGUAAUAAUAUUGAUGCAAUCGUUUUUUUUUUUUUUUACUAAUUGUAACAACGUGUCAUUAUUUCACAUUAUUGGCGGCGCCUGAGCGGCAACGGGGACACCAAAGCUAGUACCCAGACUGGUCCGUGGGUUGGGGCUCGCCGAGGCCUGCACGUGCCAGGAGUGUAUAAAUAAGAUCGGCUGUCCGCGAGAGCGGACACAAAUUUUUUAUGUGAACACCCCCUGACACGCUUCGGCCUCCGCGGCACCAACCCAAUAGGCCGCCCUGCUUCCAGCUUUGACGCCUUGAGUGCCCUGGUGAUCCUGCGCCGCCUGCUUUAUUAUAACCUCAGGUGCUUUCGAGGCCUCCGUUUGCCGGUUACAUGUGCCCUCCUAGAGCAGUGCUUGUAAAAAAUCCAAUCUAUCGUCGCGACGAAAAAAGCGACCCGCGACUUGUACAACACAAGUCAGAAACUUGCCCCCUCAGAGACAGCGAUCACCAAAUGGGGUGUCCGUGCCCACUGCCUCACCACGUGGGCAGCCAGCGGUGGAGCGUAAACACUCGACCGCACUCCGCACUGCCCUCAUGUCUAGGGGACAAACGAAUACAACCCGUGCUAAGAAACCUCCUCCGUAGUGCCUAAGCGGAGUCAUAUUUAAGGAGCAAAAGCCCCUGAUUUUCUCUCUCACGCCCGAUCUUACUCAAUCCUGCACACAAAUGACUGGCUAUCCCUCAAAUGAAUGCCUCGUCACCCUAGUGCGCUCAUCGAGCGGAGGCAGAACGCAUCGAGGCGCUGCUGUUGAACGUAGACAACCAUAAUGUGGCUGAACUAGAAUGCUUUGCAUUAAAAGAACAUCGUGGGUGCGCAGUGAAGUUGUCUCAGUGCACAAAGGAGCUAGCAAAGUAUAUGCGCUCUGUGGCUAGCAGACAUGCGGUUUGCUGAUACACGAAGCAGACCAAGCAGACGACCUGGGCGCUGGUUCUCAAGUCACCAUAGCACGUCACUUCCGAUGACUGGUGCUCUGUGAUGUGGACUUGCUCGUGCAUGCCGCUGGAUUUCUUGCAACACCACCAGAUGUCGCUUGCCUCCGCGCAUCCCCGCUGGUGCCGCUGCGGCAGCGUUUCAUAGUUUGUGCAUAUGGCACAUGCUGUGCUUGCUUUCCUAUGCAACAAAAAUGCAGGUGUUGGGCUGUGAUAGUGUAAACAUUACAAACGUCUAUAGCCUGAAGAGUGCACUUGGAGCUGGCAUCUCAACAAUGUGCUGGCCACAUAUGCAUUUAGAAGGAGCACAUAUACAUGCACCAGCAAAAUGGCUGCAAAGCAUGCACUCAGUGUCGAGGACACCCACGCCUGAAAGAAGCGUCGCACAGAACAGGAAUGUCUUCGCUACGCAGCGAAAUGUGGUGCAGACCGUGAAUGUAUGUAUACAAUGUAUACAUACAAUUAUAAUAAUUGAAUUACGUACAGCCUCAUAACCCAGGGAGCCUGCAGCUAGCUAUACUCUGUUCCAUACAUAGCAGUCAACGCUGUAUAAGCCUAUGCAAGAAGUUCGGUCAAGAAAAGUUAUCACUGUGCGCCUUCCGUCUGUGCUUCGCUGCGUGCCAACAGCGUUCGCUCAUCCGAGCAUGUACAUCAUGCUCCUCGCGAUGGGUUGCAAAUAAAAACUCGAAAAUAAAAUAAAAAUAAAAAUUAUUUAAAAGAACGCAUUAGCAGCCGUAUACCAAAUUAUGUUUGUUUAUAAGGAUUAAAACUUGUUUCAUUCAAUACUGAUUAUAUAUAAAAAAUAGUUGCGCACAAUUGCAGUCAAAAACAUCAAACUAUACCCAAGUGCAAACGAAGCCACUGCAAGAAGUCUCUCUAGCCUCCACAGCGUUGACUGCUAUGUAUGGAGCGGAGUAUAGUAGACGUCUAGCUUCCAGCUUGAUCUAGCUAAGGCCACAGCUAGUAGCCAUCUUUUGUAAGCUGUACUCUAGACCUAGACCUCUACAAGCCAGCUGGUAGUGCAGCUAGCGCUUCCUCCACUUACGGCUAGUAGCCACCUUGAGAAGCACUCUGUAGCUGCGGUGUAGACGUUCAAUGUCCAGCCUUGUUUCAGCUUCUUAGGUGUUAUAGUUAGCUCUACUAACCAUGUUUAUGAUCCUAGAAGGUUUUCUUAUUUCCCAUGUCGCUACAAUAGCACAUGAAAGGCAACAACCACAGUAAAGUUUUCACUUUGA